rnacentral:rRNA from 1 species
GACGAACGCUGGCGGCGUGCCUAAUACAUGCAAGUCGAGCGCCGAAGGUUGGUACUUGUACCGACUGGAUGAGCAGCGAACGGGUGAGUAACGCGUGGGGAAUCUGCCUUUGAGCGGGGGACAACAUUUGGAAACGAAUGCUAAUACCGCAUAAAAACUUUAAACACAAGUUUUAAGUUUGAAAGAUGCAAUUGCAUCACUCAAAGAUGAUCCCGCGUUGUAUUAGCUAGUUGGUGAGGUAAAGGCUCACCAAGGCGAUGAUACAUAGCCGACCUGAGAGGGUGAUCGGCCACAUUGGGACUGAGACACGGCCCAAACUCCUACGGGAGGCAGCAGUAGGGAAUCUUCGGCAAUGGACGAAAGUCUGACCGAGCAACGCCGCGUGAGUGAAGAAGGUUUUCGGAUCGUAAAACUCUGUUGGUAGAGAAGAACGUUGGUGAGAGUGGAAAGCUCAUCAAGUGACGGUAACUACCCAGAAAGGGACGGCUAACUACGUG